UAAUAUUAAUAUUUAAUUAACAUUAAAGGAUGGUUUUAGAAUAUAAAGAAAAGAAUGUUAGUCAAUGUGCCUUGUACCACUUACCAUAAACAUUAAUUAGGCUAUAGCAAAACUGUAUAUACCUUUAGAAUUCCUCCCCUUCCUUUAGGUAUAAUGCUGAUUUUUCUCCCUCAAAUUUAAUCAACAUACAGGAGUAAAUUUGAACAUAUGAGAUACAUUGUGAAAGGAAAUAUUAUUCUUGUGUAUGUUGGGGUCGAACACUAAAAUAAAAAGAAUUUUUAAGGGGCAUAUCAAUUAAUGUCAAAAGACUGAUCAAGAAAACUAAUUUUUCUAAAUAAAAUUAAUACACCACUGUACUUUGAAAUGAUUUAUAUUUUGUUGCCCAUGCACUUAAAAUUUUUUUAAUUUUUUUCAAGUAAAGAUCGAAUAUUUUCUUGUUCAAGAAGCUUGUUGAUAGCUUUUAAUCUUCUCUGUGAAAAAAUGAUGCAAAGAAGAGUCCAGAACCUCGAUUUAUUUUCUUGUCAAAUAGACAAAGAUCGAAUAUUUUCUUGUUCAAGAAGCUUGUUGAUAGCUUUUAAUCUUCUCUGUGAAAAAAUGAUGCAAAGAAGAGUCCAGAACCUCGAUUUAUUUUCUUGUCAAAUAGACAAAGGUGACAACGAACUGGGGCUUUGUACUUGUAUCUUCUUUGAUCCAGCAGAUGAGGAUGGAAAGGAACCAGGGGUUUUUAUAACUGAAAUUAUUGAAGGAGGUGCAGUUCACAAACUUGGAUGUAUCCGUGUAUUUGACCAGAUUAUUAAAAUAGGUGACAUCAAUCUAAUUGGAUUGGAUGAAGCAGAAAUCGUCUCUACUUUUAAAAAAAUGGACGAUUCUCCUUUCCAGAUUGAAAUUGGCCGCGAACCACCUAAAGUGAAGUCAGAACUUAUCGAACUCCUCGAGUUGUCAGAGGAAAGGAAGAAAUAUUUUAUGGAUUCGCUCAUAGUACAGGAAAAAAUUAGAGAUAUCACUAUUGUGAGAGGACAAGCAAGUAUUUGUAGAAGUCCAAGAGUACCAUGGUACUGGAUGGCCAGCGACCUGAAAUUUGUUAUUGGGGCACUGAAAAUAUUAAUAGAAGAAGAUCAGGGAUGUAGAAAAAACAUCCAAGCUAUCUUUGAGCAGGCUAACAUUUUUCAAGACAAAUAUAAAGACAUGAACACAUACAAAGUGAAUAUGGAACAGAAACCUGAUGAAUCAAAUAAAGAAGGCACAUUUUUACCAUUGGCCCCAGAAGAAGAAUUAUUACUAGAACAAUUUAAAAUAAAACCUAAAGAGAUAAAAAAUGAAGAUUUAUCACCAGGGCAAUUAUUAGCCCAAGGGGAUUUCAAUUCAGGUGAGAAAAACGAGGCCCGGAGAAGAUAUUCAGAUAGUUACCUUCCCAGCUGUGACUUCAUGGCUUCUGGCUCUAAAAUCAAGGCCAAAGAGACCCCAAUAAAAAAAGAAAAAGAAGAAGAUGAAAUAGUAGUGGAGGAAGAGAUUAUUAGCACUGGAAAACCUACAGAUGGAAAGGCUAAAAAGAGAUUUUCCUGGUUCCGCAAUAUCAAAGAAUGCAAGCUGUGGAACUUCUUUCAUUUUAAAAAACAUGACAAACAAGUAAAGAAUGUGCACAAGUGGGAAGAAAUUGAUCAAGAGGUAUUGGAUGAUUACUGUCCUUAUUCUACUGAAGCCCCUAAAACAUUGCCAACAGAGUGGACAAAUAUUGAAGUUGGUAAUUGGUUAUGGAGCAUUGGAAUGGAGGAGUAUGUUGUAAAAUUUUAUUGUAAAGGAAUAAAUGGUGAAAAACUCCUUACACUGGACAAUCGCUCUCUAAAAGUAAGUUCAAGAAUUGACUUUAUUUUUUACAAUCCAUUAGACAACAUAUAUAUAUAUACAUAUAUAUAUGUAUAUAUAUAUAAUCACUAA
ensembl:lncRNA